GUUAUUUGACUGGAGUGAGGUCUCAUGUCUGCUUAUGCGGUGGCUCGCUGCUCAGAACAGGGUCUGAUGGACAGGAAAUGGUAAGGUUUCUGAAAACCUAAGGAUCACACAGCGAGUUCCAAAGGCUGAAAGUGCAUACCUGUCGACACUGAUACCAAUGACAUCCAAUGGAGGAAGAGGGUAAUCUGGAAGAGUUUCCUGACCUACUCUGCUGCUGUGAUUAAACAACCACCAGGAAAUUUUGAUGACACUGUUCUCCUGAGCUCCUCCCUUUCCUCGGGGAAGAAAAGCAUUGAAACUACAAAAAUAAAGUGUUAUUUGGCUGGAGUGAGGUCUCAUGUCUGCUUAUGCGGUGGCUCGCUGCUCAGAACAGGAUGGAGUCUUGCUCUGCCGCCCAGACUGGAGUGCAAUGGCGCAAUCUCGGCUCACUGCAACAUUUGCCUCCCAGGAACCAUUGGAGAUACUCAUUACUCUUUGAAGGCUUACAGUGGAAUGAAUUCAAAUACGACUUAUUUGAGGAAUUGAAGUUGACUUUAUGGAGCUGAUAAGAAUCUUCUUGGAGAAAAAAAGACUGGAUCUUUCAUUGUAGUACUUCUGAAUUAACCAAAAUCACAGUAUUCUGAAGAUGAUUCUACAAAGCCUGCUGUUUCUACAAAGGCUGCUGAUGAUUUCUACAAAGCCUGCUGUAGUGUUGCUGUGGCCUCUGCUUAAAAAAGUAGAAAACACAUUGAUGCAGCAUGUUCACCCCAACCUCCCUGCCUAAAGGCUCAGGGACCAUCUUGGAAGAGGAAGGCGCGUGAGAUUGUAAGAGCCGAAUUAGGGGGAUGGAGUGUGGAGAAUAAGGACACUUCAUCUUGGAUGCUCACCUGCCAAAUUGACUUCUGAUGAAAGCCAGCUCCAGAAAUGUGCCUACAGUUACUACUUUCACCUAAACCCUGCCCUUAGUCAAAUCCUUCUCUUCUUCUAAGCAAUCAACUUCAAUUCCUUGUAUAACCCACAGUAUAAAAGGGCUUUUAUACCAUUCUAUCCUAUUGCAUGUAAGCCUUGGGUCUGGGAGGUAACAGUGUGGGAUUCCACCAUCUCAUCUCCCUGCCACCCAAACAUGCCUGCUCUUCUUUAAGCAAUAUUAAAUGUUUGUACUUCAGAAA
rnacentral:lncRNA from 1 species